GGGAAUUGAUGGAAACAGCAUUACUAAUGAUUCAGAAUGUUAAGAAGAGAAAAUCUGAUUUUCCACUAAUCCCCUGUAGACGCACUCUAACUGACUCCUCUGCUUCUUGAAGGCUCAACCCCAUUUCCUCCAAUUCUUUCCCAACCUUGACUGAUGUCUUUGUUUGACUUCAAUACCAGUAAUUCGACAUCAAGAGCUUUCAAUUUUCCUUUUGUUUAGAAAUGAACGAAAAGAUUGACUCAAAACACUGCAACUGUAAUUUCCUCAGCACCUUUUAGCAUGCUUUGAGCGACAGUUGAAUUAAGUAAUCAAGACUUUCAUACAACUCUUCCAGGCUACCCAAUUUGUGACGUAUUGAUAGUGAUUUGAAUUCUUCAACUUGUAAAGCUGUUCUUCAAUGCAUUCUGUUAGAGGAUGAGAUCCAGAGGGCAAGCUGAUCGAACGGAGAUGAAAAAGCAGCCAGUUUUCUAUUUCUGCAAAGGCAAAGGAUAUCAAGAAAGUGA
rnacentral:lncRNA from 1 species